GAUGAAGAACGCAGCGAAAUGCGAUAAGUAAUGUGAAUUGCAGAAUUCAGUGAAUCAUCGAAUCUUUGAACGCACAUUGCGCCCCUUGGUAUUCCGAGGGGCAUGCCUGUUCGAGCGUCAUUAUAACCCUCAAGCUCAGCUUGGUGUUGGGGCCUGCUGCAGUGGCAGCCCUUAAAAUCAGUGGCGGCGCCACCUGGCUCUAAGCGUAGUAAUUCUUCUCGCUAUGGAGUCCUGGUGGAUGCUUGCCAUCAACCCCCAAUUUUUCUAUGGUUGACCUCGGAUCAGGUAGGGAUACCCGCUGAACUUAAGCAUAUCAAUAAGCGGAGGA
rnacentral:misc_RNA from 1 species